AACAUAAAGUUUUGGUCCUAGACUUGUUGCUAUUUGUAAUCAAAAUUAUACAUGCAAGUAUCAGCCCACCAGUGAGAAUGCCCAAGUAUUUAAGGAGCCGGCAUCAGGCACGACCUAUUCAGCCCAAAACGCCUUGCUACGCCACACCCACACGGGACAUCAGCAGUAAUAAAUAUUAAGCAAUGAGCAAAAGCUCGACUUAGUUAUGAUUGACAGGGCCGGUCAACCUCGUGCCAGCCACCGCGGUUAUACAAGGGGCCCAAAAUAGACAAACCACGGCGUAAAGAGUGACUAGAAUCUGCUAAACACCAAAAUAGCAACUAUUCCCUAACCGUAAAACACAGGGUAAACGAACACUCUAAUUUUGCACAACAGCAAUUUGAAUCACGAAAUCUAAGAAACAAACUAGGAUUAGAUACCCUACUAUGCUUAGUCGUAAAUAAGAUGUGACCAUCCGCCAGAAUAUUACAAGCGAAAAGCUUAAAACCCAAAGGACUUGGCGGUGCUCCACACCCUCUUAGAGGAGCCUGUCCUAUAAUUGAUACUCCACAAUAAACCUUUCCCCCUAUUGCCCAUCCCAGCCUAUAUACCGCCGUCGAAAAUCCACCCUAAAAAGGACAAACAGUGGGUAAAAUAACCCUAAGUUAAAACGUCAGGUCAAGGUGUAGCUAAUAAGGGGGCAGAGAUGGGCUACAUUUUUUAGCCUAAAACAUACGGCAAAGUACUAUGAAACAAGCACUAAAAGGCGGAUUUAACAGUAAGAAUAACAAGAAAAUUAAUCUUAAACCAGCCCUGGAGCGCGCACACACCGCCCGUCACCCUCAUUAACACCACAAACCACAUUAAUAAUAAGACUACCAAAAAAAGAUGAGGAAAGUCGUAACAAGGUAAGCACACCGGAAGGUGCGCUUGGAUACACCAAAAGGUAGCUUAAAUAAAGCACUCAGCUUACAAUUGAGAUAUGUUAGAACCCAUUUGCGCUAAAACUGUAGCCCAACUUACAUAGCUUAAAAUCUAAACAAACCAUUUGCCAAAACUAGUAGAGGUGAUCAAAC
rnacentral:ncRNA from 1 species